rnacentral:lncRNA from 1 species
UUUUUUUUAUUUAUUUAAUUUAAAUAAUAUACAUAAAUUUGCAAAUUGGAAUAUAUAGUUAUAUUACUUAUUAUAGAAUAUCAAAUGAAAAUAGUGAUUAGUAGUGAUUAGAAGAAACGUCUAAAAUAAACAAAAAUAAUAAAUAUUCAAAAAAAAUAUUCUUUUUUUAUUUAAAUAAUACGAAGGCUACUACCCUUCGGGAAGUGAUUGGUCUGUCAU